AUGGAGGUAAAACUGCUGCCUGGUGGCCCCAAGCCCAAUUCUGGCUGUGGCUAUCACCGCCGGGGGAAGGGGGUCAUGAUCCAAAGGAAACAGAGUAGUUAAGAAACUGUUUAUUGGUGGUCUGAGCUUUGAAACGACAGAUGAUAGCUUAAGAGAACAUUUGGAAAAAUGGGGCCCACUCACAGAUUGUGUGGUAAUGAGAUACCCCCAAACAAAAAGUUCCAGGGGGUUUGGUUUUAUGACUCACUCUUGUGUUGAAGAGGUGGAUGCAGCAACAUGUACUCAACCACACAGGUUGGUAGGCAUCUAUUGGAACUAAAGAAAACUGUUUCUAGAGAGGAUUCUAUAAAGCCUGAUGCUCAUCUGAGAGUGAAGAAAAAUUUUGUUGGUGGUAUUAAAGAAGAUACAGAAGAAUAUAAUUUGAGAGACUACUUUGAAAAGUAUGGCAAGAUUGAAGCCAUAGAAGUUAUGGAAGACAGGCAGAGUGGAAUAAAGAGAGGAUUUGCUUUUGCAACUUUUGAUGAUCAUGAUACAGUUGAUAACAUUGUUGUUCAGGAAUGCCACACUAUUAAUGGGCAUAAUUGUGAAGUGAAAAGGCCCUUUCUGAACAAGAGAUGCAGUCUGCUGGAUCACAGAGAGGUUGUGGAGGUGGAUCUAGCAAUUUUGUGGGUUACAGAGGAAACUUUGGAGGUGGUGGAGGUAAUUUUGGCCGUGGUGGCAACUUUGGUGGAAGAGGAGGCUAUGGUGGUGGAGGUGGUGGCAGCAGAGGUAGUUAUGGAGGAGGUGAUGUUGGAUAUAAUGGAUAUGGAGGUGAUAGUGACAACUCUGGCAGUGGUCCUGGUUAUAGUAGUAGAGGGGGCUAUGGUGGUGAUGGACCAGGAUAUGGCCCAAGGUGGUGGAUACGGUGGUGGUGGUGGAGGAUAUGAUGGUUACAAUGAAGGAGGAAAUUUGGCGGUGGUAACUAUGGUGGUGGUGGGAACUAUAAUGAUUUUGGAAAUCAUAGUGGAUAACAGUAAUCAAAUUAUGCACCCACGUAAGGGGGUAGUUUUUGUGGAAGAAGCUCAGUCAUCCCUAUGUUGGUGGUUAUGGAUCUGGUGAUGGACAUGGUGGAUAUGGGAGAAGUUUCUAAAAACAGCAGAAAAGGGCUGCAGUUCUUAGCAGGAGAGAGAGGGAGGAGUUGUCAGGAAAGCUGGAGUUUACUUCGAGACAGUCAUCCCGAAUGCAUUAAAGGAACUUUAAAAAUCUGUCACAGUGGAAACAAUGAUCCACAGUCAGAAAAGUUACCGCAGCUUAAACAGGAAACCUUCUCGUUCAGGACUGUCAUAGCCACAUACAGAGACUUUAACAAAUGCAGUUUUGAAGGUGAUUCCUUGUGA